CCUACGGGAGGCUGCAGUAGGGAAUCUUCCACAAUGGACGAAAGUCUGAUGGAGCAACGCCGUGUGAGUGAAGAAGGGUUUCGGCUCGUAAAGCUCUGUUGGUAGUGAAGAAAGAUAGAGGUAGUAACUGGCCUUUAUUUGACGGUAAUUACUUAGAAAGUCACGGCUAACUACGUGCCAGCAGCCGCGGUAAUACGUAGGUGGCAAGCGUUGUCCGGAUUUAUUGGGCGUAAAGCGAGUGCAGGCGGUUCAAUAAGUCUGAUGUGAAAGCCUUCGGCUCAACCGGAGAAUUGCAUCAGAAACUGUUGAACUGGAGUGCAGAAGAGGAGAGUGGAACUCCAUGUGUAGCGGUGGAAUGCGUAGAUAUAUGGAAGAACACCAGUGGCGAAGGCGGCUCUCUGGUCUGCAACUGACGCUGAGGCUCGAAAGCAUGGGUAGCGAACAGGAUUAGAUACCCCAGUAGUC
rnacentral:rRNA from 1 species